rnacentral:rRNA from 1 species
CACGUAGGGGACGAGCGUUGUCCGGAUUCAUUGGGCGUAAAGCGCGCGUAGGCGGCUCGGAAAGUCGGUCGUGAAAUGCCGGGGCUCAACCCCGGGACUGCGUCCGAUACUCCCGAGCUGGAGGCAGGUAGGGGAGAUCGGAAUUCCUGGUGUAGCGGUGAAAUGCGCAGAUAUCAGGAGGAACACCGGUGGCGAAGGCGGAUCUCUGGGCCUUGCCUGACGCUGAGGAGCGAAAGCGUGGGGAGCGAACAGG